UAGUUAGGGAGGCUCACUGGGCCAUGAGCAUGUAGGGCAUAAUGACUUGAACAUGAUAUUUUAUUUUCUCUUUCAGACUUAAGCAUUUAUUGCUCUACUUGAGAAGCUGGUUUUCCUCAGGUAGAGAACACAUCUAAGUAGCAGGGAAACCCCAUUCUUGUCGGAGCUGUUCAAGCAUCCCUUGCCUGCAAACUUGUGCAGCUUGUUGAUAGAAGGGGAACUUGUGCUGAGAACUUGUUCGGGUUGACCUGACUCUGGCCAAGCAUCACCCUU
rnacentral:lncRNA from 1 species